rnacentral:rRNA from 1 species
GACGAACGCUGGCGGCGUGCUUAACACAUGCAAGUCGAACGGAAAGGCCCUGCUUUUGUGGGGUGCUCGAGUGGCGAACGGGUGAGUAACACGUGAGUAACCUGCCCUUGACUUUGGGAUAACUUCAGGAAACUGGGGCUAAUACCGGAUAGGAGCUCCUGCUGCAUGGUGGGGGUUGGAAAGUUUCGGCGGUUGGGGGUGGACUGGCGGCUUAUCAGCUUGUUGGUGGGGUAGUGGCUUACCAAGGCUUUGACGGGUAGCCGGCCUGAGAGGGUGACCGGCCACAUUGGGACUGAGAUACGGCCCAGACUCCUACGGGAGGCAGCAGUGGGGAAUAUUGCACAAUGGGCGGAAGCCUGAUGCAGCAACGCCGCGUGCGGGAUGACGGCCUUCGGGUUGUAAACCGCUUUCGCCUGUGACGAAGCGUGAGUGACGGUAAUGGGUAAAGAAGCACCGGCUAACUACGUG